AGGGGAAGUCGGUGAAAGUCCGGCGCUGACCCGCAACCGUGAGCACGCGCCCCGCCGGGCCGUGUGAGCCGGAGCACCU
rfam:Streptomyces hygroscopicus ATCC 53653 genomic scaffold supercont1.1, whole genome shotgun sequence.